AACGAACGCUGGCGGCAUGCCUAACACAUGCAAGUCGAACGAGACCGUCGGGUCUAGUGGCGCCCGGGUGCGUAACGCGUGGGAACCUGCCCUUAAGUUCGGCAUAACUCCCCGAAAGGGGUGCUAAUACCGGAUAAUGUCUUCGGACCAAAGAUUUAUCGCCUUUGGAUGGGCCCGCGUUGGAUUAGCUAGUUGGUAGGGUAAAAGCCUACCAAGGCGACGAUCCAUAGCUGGUCUGAGAGGAUGAUCAGCCACACUGGGACUGAGACACGGCCCAGACUCCUACGAGAGGCAGCAGUGGGGAAUAUAGGACAAUGGGCGAAAGGCUGAUCCAGCAAUGCCGCGAGAGUGAUGAAGGCCUUAGGGUUGGAAAGCUCUUGUAGCCGGGAUGAUAAUGACAGUACCGGGAGAAUAAGCUCCGGCUAACUCCGUG
rnacentral:rRNA from 1 species